rnacentral:sRNA from 1 species
GGAAGGCACGCCCUCCCAGAUCCACAAGUCUUGAUCAUUCCUCGCAUCCAACAAGCGAAAGACUUUCCCUGCCACGGCUCAACAGCGCCGUAAUCCUCGACUCCACAAGGGGAAUCGAGGCGGUCGUGAACUCGCAAGGUGAUCGGCCGUCCGUGAGGCGGUAGUGCAGCGCAGAGGUUGGCUGCCCCUGCGCGAAGCGAAACCUGCGGAGUAGACCGUGGCAUGACGAGUGGUUGCCGCAAGCAACCCGGCGCGGCGGUUACCAGUGGGAGCUGGUGGACAAGUCGGGAAACGAUAAUCCGACGAGAGACCGUCAUGGGUGGGUGCAGUCUCAGCCC